rnacentral:rRNA from 1 species
AACGAACGCUGGCGGCAGGCCUAACACAUGCAAGUCGAGCGCCCCGCAAGGGGAGCGGCGGACGGGUGAGUAACGCGUGGGAACGUACCCUUUGCUACGGAAUAGCCUCGGGAAACUGGGAGUAAUACCGUAUGUGUCCUUCGGGAGAAAGAUUUAUCGGCAAGGGAUCGGCCCGCGUUGGAUUAGGUAGUUGGUGGGGUAAUGGCCUACCAAGCCGACGAUCCAUAGCUGAUUUGAGAGGAUGAUCAGCCACACUGGGACUGAGACACGGCCCAGACUCCUACGGGAGGCAGCAGUGGGGAAUCUUAGACAAUGGGCGCAAGCCUGAUCUAGCCAUGCCGCGUGAGCGAUGAAGGCCUUAGGGUUGUAAAGCUCUUUCAGGGGGGAAGAUAAUGACUGUACCCCCAGAAGAAGCCCCGGCUAACUCCGUG